GUCGGGAUUCGACUCACUCCAACCCCUGUGACAUACCUAUACGUUGCCUCGGCGGAUCAGCCCGCGCCCCGUAAAACGGGACGGCCCGCCCGAGGACCCCUAAACUCUGUUUUUAGUGGAACUUCUGAGUAAAACAAACAAAUAAAUCAAAACUUUCAACAACGGAUCUCUUGGUUCUGGCAUCGAUGAAGAACGCAGCAAAAUGCGAUAAGUAAUGUGAAUUGCAGAAUUCAGUGAAUCAUCGAAUCUUUGAACGCACAUUGCGCCCGCCAGUAUUCUGGCGGGCAUGCCUGUUCGAGCGUCAUUUCAACCCUCAAGCUCAGCUUGGUGUUGGGACUCGCGGUAACCCGCGUUCCCCAAAUCGAUUGGCGGUCACGUCGAGCUUCCAUAGCGUAGUAAUCAUACACCUCGUUACUGGUAAUCGUCGCGGCCACGCCGUUAAACCCCAACUUCUGAAUGUUGACCUCGGAUCAGGUAGGAAUACCCGCUGAACUUAAGCAUAUCAAUAAGCGGAGGAA
rnacentral:rRNA from 1 species